rnacentral:rRNA from 1 species
UACGAAGGGGGCUAGCGUUGUUCGGAAUUACUGGGCGUAAAGGGCGCGUAGGCGGCCUGACAAGUCGGGUGUGAAAGGCCUGGGCUUAACCCGGGAAAUGCGCUCGAUACUGUUGGGCUAGAGUGUGGGAGAGGAUAGCGGAAUUCCCAGUGUAGAGGUGAAAUUCGUAGAUAUUGGGAAGAACACCAGUGGCGAAGGCGGCUAUCUGGACCACAACUGACGCUUAGGCGCGAAAGCGUGGGGAGCAAACAGG